rnacentral:rRNA from 1 species
GCAACUCGCCUACACGAAGUUGGAAUUGCUAGUAAUCGUGGAUCAGCAUGCCACGGUGGAAUACGUUCCCGGGUCUUGUACACACCGCCCGUCACACCAUGGGAGCUGGUAACACCCGAAGUCAGUAGUCUAACCGCAAGGAGGACGCUGCCGAAGGUGGGAUUAGCGACUGGGGUGAAGUCGUAACAAGGUACC